rnacentral:rRNA from 1 species
GGUUAAGCGAAUAAGCGUACACGGUGGAUGCCUAGGCAAUCAGAGGCGAUGAAGGACGUGCUAAUCUGCGAAAAGCGUCGGUAAGGUGAUAUGAACCGUUAUACCCGACGAUAUCCGAAUGGGGAAACCCAGUAUCCAAUGGAUACUAUCAUUAACUGAAUCCAUAGGUUAAUGAGGCGAACCGGGAGAACUGAAACAUCUCAGUACCCCGAGGAAAAGAAAUCAACCGAGAUUCCCCUAGUAGCGGCGAGCGAACGGGGAGCAGCCCAGAGUCUUAAUCAAUAACAGU